UUUCAGGGUUUCUUUAUUUAUAUUUUUGGAAUUCUCCUUGACAACAGUGUGCAUGAUACCAUACGCAAAAUGAUGGCUUUCAGCAAAACAGGCACAGAAGACACUCAGACUACUGCAACUGAUACAUCCACAUCCUGAGUGGUUUAAUCUCCCUGAAGAAGUUUCUAGAACAUGUA